AAUGGGUAUCUUAAAGCCCAUAGCUUGCUAGCUGUAAAUAUUGUAAAAGUUUUACAGAUACUGAAUAAUAGUAUGAGGCAGUUAAAUAAAAUAAACAGAUACUUUUAAAUAAUUUUCGACAAUUUCCUUUUUUAUUACUAGAAAUCCUUUCUUUUCUUUAUUUCCCAACAAAAGGAGGAAAAUGAAAUUUAAAAGGAAUAUCUUGAAAACUGUUAUCCGACCGUUAACAUUUUACUUUUAAAUUAGUAGUUCUGGUUUCGAUGAAUGAACACAACACACACACACCUACCACUUCACUCUCUCUCUCUCUCUAGAACAGAACACGAAGAACAAUUUGUCCAUCUCCGUUUACAGUACAACGACACCACCUCGCCUGAAGAGUAGUUCAAGGGAUACGUACGCCAUCAAGAGAGAGAGAGAGAGAGAGAGAGAG